GACGUAGGGCGCGAGCGUUGUCCGGAUUUAUUGGGCGUAAAGAGCUCGUAGGCGGCUUGUCGCGUCGACCGUGAAAACUUGGGGCUCAACCCCAAGCCUGCGGUCGAUACGGGCAGGCUCGAGUUCGGUAGGGGAGACUGGAAUUCCUGGUGUAGCGGUGAAAUGCGCAGAUAUCAGGAGGAACACCGGUGGCGAAGGCGGGUCUCUGGGCCGAAAUUGACGCUGAGGAGCGAAAGCGUGGGGAGCGAACAGG
rnacentral:rRNA from 1 species